UGAAUACGAGACGCUAAGGCGUCGAAGUAGUGUAUGUCAUACUUCCAAGAAAAGCUUGCACUGUCAUAGAUAAAAAACGCCUGUACCAUAACCGACACAGGUGGGUAGGUAGAGUAUACUAAGGGGCGCGAGAUAACUCUCUCUAAGGAACUCGGCAAAAUAACUCCGUAACUUCGGGAGAAGGAGUGCCUUAUUCGUAAGGUUGCAAUAACAAGAUCCAAGCAACUGUUUAUCAAAAACACAGGUCUCCGCUAAGUCGUAAGACGAUGUAUGGGGGCUGACGCCUGCCCAGUGCCAGAAGGUUAAAGAAGUUGGUUAGCAAUUGCGAAGCUGACAACUGAAGCCCUGGUGAACGGCGGCCGUAACUAUAACGGUCCUAAGGUAGCGAAAUUCCUUGUCGGGUAAGUUCCGACCCGCACGAAAGGCGUAACGAUUUGGAUACUGUCUCGGAGAGGGGCUCGGUGAAAUAGACUUGUCUGUGAAGAUGCGGACUACCUGCACCAGGACAGAAAGACCCUAUGAAGCUUUACUGUAACUUGAAAUUGAAAUUGGACUUUAUUCGCGCAGUAUAGGUGGGAGGCGUUGAUUAUAAUCUUGUGGGAUUAUUGGAGCCAUCAGUGAGAUACCACUCUUGUAAUGUUAGAUUUCUAACUUUGAAUCAUUAUCUGGUCAAAGAACAGUUUCAGGCGGGCAGUUUGACUGGGGCGGUCGCCUCCUAAACGGUAACGGAGGCGUACAAAGGUUUCCUCUGAACGGUUAGAAAUCGUAUCUAGAGUGUAAAGGCAUAAGGAAGCUUGACUGUGAGACCUACAAGUCGAGCAGGGACGAAAGUCGGUCUUAGUGAUCUGACGGUACUGAGUGGAAAGGCCGUCACUCAACGGAUAAAAGUUACUCUAGGAUAACAGGCUGAUCUCCCCCAAGAGUUCACAUCGACGGGGAGGUUUGGCACCUCGAUGUCGGCUCAUCGCAUCCUGGGGCGGUAGUACGUCCCAAGGGUUGGGCUGUUCGCCCAUGAAAGCGGUACGCGAGCUGGGUUCAGAACGUCGUGAGACAGUUCGGUCCAUAUCCGGUGUAGGCGUUAGAAUAUUGAGAGGAGCCUUCUUUAGUACGAGAGGACCGAGAAGGACAUACCUCUGGUGUACCAGUUAUCGUGCCAACGGUAAACGCUGGGUAGCUAUGUAUGGAGUGGAUAACCGCUGAAAGCAUCUAAGUGGGAAGCCCACCUCAAGAUAAGUAUUCAC
rnacentral:rRNA from 1 species